GUCAGGAUAGCCUAGUGGUCAAGACGCCAGACUUCAAGGAUUAAAACCCUUCUCCCGUAACAAGAUUGAUUUGGUGAUUUAUUUUCAAUUUCAAUUUAGUUAGAUCAUGUGUCUUGAUUCGAUUUUUAAUUUCGGUUUCAAUUUAUCAUGUAGCAAGGGAUUUGGGUAUUUUCUGAUCUACUUGAUGUAGUCGUGGGUUCGAAUCCCACUUCAUCUACA